UAUACGACUCUCGGCAACGGAUAUCUCGGCUCUCGCAUCGAUGAAGAACGUAGCGAAAUGCGAUACUUGGUGUGAAUUGCAGAAUCCCGUGAACCAUCGAGUCUUUGAACGCAAGUUGCGCCCGAGGCCUUUCGGUUGAGGGCACGCCUGCCUGGGCGUCACGC
rnacentral:rRNA from 102 species